rnacentral:piRNA from 1 species
UUGGAACUAGAGUUACAGACAGUUG